rnacentral:rRNA from 1 species
GCAAGUUGAACGGUUGAUUUAGGGUAGCAAUAUUCUGAGUUAGCAGUGCCGUUAGGGUGCUUAACACGUGGGUAAUCUGCCGCGAAGUGUGGGAUAACUCGCUGAAAGGCGAGCUAAUACCGCAUGUGAUUUUCUUGAGGCAUCUCAGGGAAUUCAAACAUGGGUCGCAAGACCUGUGGUUUCGCGAUGAGCCCGCGGCCUAUCAGCUAGUUGGCGGGGUAAAAGCCCACCAAGGCUAAGACGGGUAGCUGGUCUGAGAGGACGACCAGCCACACUGGAACUGAGACACGGUCCAGACACCUACGGGUGGCAGCAGUCGAGAAUUUUUCACAAUGGGGGAAACCCUGAUGGAGCGACGCCGCGUGGGGGAUGAAGGGCUUCGGUUCGUAAACCCCUGUCAUUGGCGAACAAGUGUUGCAUUCUAAUACAGUGUAACUUGAUAGUAGCCGAAGAGGAAGGGACGGCUAACUCUGUGCCAGCAGCCGCGGUAAUACAGAGGUCCCGAGCGUUGUUCGGAUUCACUGGGCGUAAAGGGUGCGUAGGUGGUUGGUUAAGUUUGAGGUGAAAGCUCCGAGCUCAACUCGGAAAAUGCCUUGAAGACUAUCUGACUAGAGGAUUGGAGGGGAGAUUGGAAUUCUCGGUGUAGCAGUGAAAUGCGUAGAUAUCGAGAGGAACACCAGUGGCGUAGGCGAAUCUCUGGACAAUUCCUGACACUGAGGCACGAAAGCCAAGGGAGCAAACGGGAUUAGAUACACCGGUAGUCUUGGCUGUAAACGGUGCGCACUUGCUGUGAGCGGAUUCGACCCCGCUCGUGGCGUAGUUAACACGAUAAGUGCGCCGCCUGGGAAGUACGGUCGCAAGAUUAAAACUCAAAGAAAUUGA